GCGACUGUACGUCACCUGGGAGAGCGCCAGACUGAAGCCUUAACUUCAUUCCCUAAAAUCUGGAGGUACUGUGUUCGGUCCACAGCAGUCGCA